GUCACGCCUAAACUAUGUCAACUGGUUGUUGGGAAUUCACUUUCUUCAGUAACGAAGCUAACGCGUGAAGUUGACCGCCUGGGGAGGUACGGCCGCAAGGUUAAAACUACAAAGGAAAUUGACGGGGACCCGGCACAAAGCGGUGGAUGAUGUGGUUUAAAUUUCGAUGCAAACGCGAAAAACCUUAACCCACCUUUGUACAUGUACGGAAGAUCGCAGAGACGCGAUUGUGCUCGAAAGAGAGCCGUAACACAGGUGCUGCAUGGCUGUCGU
rnacentral:rRNA from 1 species